rnacentral:tRNA from 1 species
GACAUCAUAGCCAAGUGGUUACGGCGACAGAUUCGAACUCGGUAGAUAUCUGUUUCCCUUCGGGAGCGCAGGUUCGAAUCCUGCUGGUGUCG